CAGGGGGUCUGGAAUCUUGGCAUCGUGCUCCGGGGCUGCUCCUUCUUCCUGUUCAGCCACCACAGCAAACAAGAGCCCCUGGGGCCUCAGCCAGCGACUGACCCCUCCCUGACCCUGCCUUCCGGAAGGAUGAAUGCACAUCAGAAGCCAGGGCCAAAAUAUUCCUGGGCACUGUCUGCUGUGCACCCAGCUCUCUUUUUCCCAGCCUCUUAGGAGGGAGAAGUUUCCAAAAGGGACAGCUCCAAAGGCUUUCACAGAAGGGGAGCCUCUCUAAGAAGUGCUCCUGUGUUUGGGCAAUGGAGGAGGAGGAUGGAUAUUCUUCUGUUGUGGGUUUCAAUUCCAUGCUGUCAAAUAACCUCUUUAGUCCAAUGCUCUGCCACUUUCAGCCAGGCAUAAGCAAGACAAUUGUCACUGAACAUUAUUGGGAGUAACAUGCAAUGGCACAUGCACUAAUGCGAACAUCAGAAGGAAGACCCGGAGUCUAGUCUAGCCCUAUCACUUCUGCACAGCUUUGGCCUGAGUCACUUAACCCUUCCGAGUGCUGGUCUACUCAUCUGCUAAGUGGGACAAUCACUUCUGACAAGGCUGCUAGGAAGAUUACAUUGAGAGUGCACUGGUGAUUAUUCAGCAUGUCAGGGAGGGCCUACCACUCCGGGCCUCCACGGAGUGGAUGGCUAAGAUCCCCUGACUCCCAGUGCACACUCCUCACACAUGGCUGCACCUCUUUCGGCCUCAGGGGCCAGCGAGGAGCCUACCGACAAGGUGAGGUGAAGAGCGAAGAGAAUCAGUGAUGGAAAUGGAAGCCAGCAGUCAGGGCUUGCAAGCUCAGCCCUUCUCAGGUCCUCCAAGAAGUAAAUCAGCUGAGGGUCAGACCCCAAGGAGCUUCACGGCCAGCAACUCAGCCUGGUUUCCUCUCUUUUCCUCGCAUCACAUUCAGUGACCUAUCAGUCUAGAUAGAGGGUGCUUUUUCAAAUAAACCCUUUUCCAACUUGUCUAGGAGAACAAUCAUAGAUUUUGAUCCCAAAGUUAAAUUGGCCUGUCAGAUACAAAGCUUUCUGGAGCCAGCCAGCAUCUCAGGAUAUCCCACACUCCUCCCAAAUGCAUUACCACCCAGCAGGUAGUGUCAUCGCAGUUUCUCUGGUUUCAGAAUAAUAACUGGUGGGAAAUGCCCAUGGAAUUGACACUCAGCACUUUGAAGAUUUUAUCAGUUGGGUAAAUAUCACCCAGAAGACAGGAGAAACUGGGGUUCUGUUACGACAUCUACAACUAGAAGGAGUGCUGAUCACUUCUUUUCCCCAUAAGGUCUAGGAUCCUAUAACCACGACAGGAUCAGAGGCAACCUGGUGGUGAAAGGUAGACAAACCCAAACUCCUUACAUGCCCAGUUCAGCUGUCCUCACAAUCAUCCUACACAUCACAUGCAUCCUGCUCAAGAGCUCGUGGCCAGCCUCCUCCUUCCUACAGUGCCCUAAUGCCCUAGUGAAUCAAGCCCCACCACAGUGUGGACGCUCGUAACAUACCUGUGACUCCCCCCAGCAGCCUGGGAUCUUCCUUCCACUCCAUUCACGCUCAUCUCUGCUCGGGCUCCAAGCCUCCUGGGCCCAUUCACACCUCUGAGCCUUUGCUCAGGUAUUUCCCACUCUUGCUCUCAGUGGUCUGCCUUCUAUUUGUCUACCCCAACUCUAUGCCUCUUUCUAUACUUCCCCCGCUACUCCAACCUGCACUGGUCCCUUUCCUGAGCCUAACUGGCACUCACAUUUUGCACCAAGUUGGCACUUAAUUUUAAAUGGUCUUGUCUUGAAUAAUAUGCUAACCACCUCUUUCACCUCCUCCAGAACAGAAAAGGUGCCUUACACAGUGGAGAAGCCUUUAGAGCCAGAAAAAUCCUUGAUUGGAAAAAUCAGACUUUACCAGCAAUCACCACUGCCUUUGUCAACUCAAUCUCUCUGAGCCUCAGUUUCCAUCUCUGUAAAAUACGAAUUGUAAUCUUAAUCUCAAAGGGCUGUUAUAUGGCUUUAACAAGUUAAUAUCUAUAAAAAGCCUAGACUCAGUAACUAAUGCAUAGAAAGUAACCCCCAAAAGGUUAUUCCAGUUCCCCUUUGUUUCUUUUAUGUCUUGCAGAACCUAGCACAUUAUGGCAACACAAGACAUUUGGUAUAUGUUUGAUUCAUUUAUAAGUAGUAUAAAGAAAACCAGUAACUGGAGGGUCAUUAUACAAAGUAGCAGCAUGCGGUCAAAACACAUGGAUCUAUUUUUCAAUUACGGACAAAAAGUUGAGAUCUAUGGAGGGUAAAACAGUCUACUUUAACUAAAGAAGUUUUCAGGAUUACAAACUGCCAGUCUCUCUGUACUCAUCACUCAGCCAAGCAGAAGUUUCAGCACAAAUGUUCAUGCUGGCAAUUCAUACUACAUUCUUUCUUACAUAAGUUGUCUCCAUCCCCAAACUCCAUAAUAUGUAUGGUCCACAGAAAGUUCACUUCACGUGCUAAAUGUGGUACAAUCCUUGCUACUUCUUUAAAUCAAACACAGAGCAAAAUUUUUCUGGAGUUCUUUUUAAAAUUAUUUAGAAAGAAUGCCGAUCACUUCUUUUCUGAAGCAGAAUUUUUGUCAUUUAUCUAUAUAUGUAACAUAUAUAAAUAUAAUUGUAUAUAUAAUUAAAUUCGUCUUCUAAUAAGACCUUUCCUCCCCAGAUUGGAGACAACAUAGUAGACAACCAUGAAUAUUAGUGAGGUCAUUCAACCAAAAUCAUGCUGAGAAUAAUAUCCAAGUCCUGUGAGCAAUUAUGAAAUCCAUGCACCAAAGAUGAUGUUGGAUGUGGUGGUGUCCAGUGAGAUGAAAACUGGAGUGGAAUUCAGAUGGAGUUUCAGCAGAACCAUUUUCACCUGGUGGCCUUUUGGCCUUACUGUUCUUACAGUUUCUUCUCACUGUCUCUUUUUCACAUACUUGGCAUUUCUCUGGAGGAAAAUGUGUCUUGCCACUGCAUUCACUUUUCAGCUCGUGGCUCAUGCUACCAAAACAAUGGAAGUCAACAAAAGGCUUGAGACAUUGCUUCAGUGUGAAUAUAAACAAGCCUAGAAAUGUAAUUUUAGUUAGUGAUCAGAAUACAUAUCCGUGAAACUAAUCUUCUCCACGUCUCCCCACUUCCUGGUGGUGAGUUAGGCACCAACUCUUCCAGGUCAUCUAGCUAUAAUGUAAAACAUUACAGAACUAAAUGGGGACCCCAAGAGGUCAUCUAACCCAUGCCCCCAACUCUAUGCAAGAGAAAUGCUUGGCUAUCAGUGAGUUCCGCAUCAGCCUCGACAGUCUAAAAUGCUUGGUGUCAAAAGAACUGCUUGUCUAUUUGUUUUAGGCACCAAGGUGUUUCUCCUGUGCUCCCUGGAGACCAAAUGUAACUGGUCAGUGCCUUUAUCUCAGUGAUACACAUAACAACAGCUAUUAAGUGACCCCUAAUUCUUUUCCCCAAGUUAAACAACCCCAAAUCCACAAACCUUUCCUUAAAGGGCUUAUUGUUCAUCCUGUUAAACAUAUUGUUAAUAAGCUUUUCUGUACUUUUUGGAUUUCCCACAGUCUUUUUCCGCUAAUUCAAACACAGUGGUGUCAAAUAUUAAAUAGAGCUGAAGCAUUGCUUCCCAGACCUUCCACAUCAUUCCUAGUUUAACGCAGCUUGGUUAUCAUGCUUUCUUAAAAAUAAACAACACAAUACUCCUCCAGCUUGUGAUCCACUACGACUUCCAGAUCUAUCUCAGCUAUAAUUGUGCCUUGCCAGGUGAUGGCCAAUAAUACAAUCAACAUAAUCCAGUCAAGCAGAUUGAUGCUAAACCAUUGAUGACCACUGUCAUCACCUCUCAAAAAAGUAUUUCCUAGUCUGGUGUAAAGAAAGAUCAGGUAACCAAACGAUGUGUGUCGUUCACACAAUGUUUAAUAAAAUACAAAGCAUAGCAUUUUCUAACUUUUAGUUUGAAGACUCUUUCUCCUCCUGGUCUAUGCCUGAAAACUAACUUCUGGGUGACUUCAUAUGUGAUCACAGGGUAGAACUUGGAGAAAAUGAAACAGAUAUUUAACCUGCUUAUCCCAAACACUGCCCCUUUUCAGGAAACUUGGAGGUAACUGGGGUAACUUAGCAAUAAACCCCGCUGAAAGUUAUCCUGAGGUCUGAAAGUCACUGAUCCUCUCAGCACAAUGGAGUAUCCACUAACAAUGGCUAAAGAGCAUCUCUUCAAUAAACUUAGCUUGACUACUACCACCUAUCAUGACUAGCUCAUCGACCACCCUUCAGGAUCAUUUCAUGUGCAACUAGUAAGAAGGUUUCAAUUCAGUAGUAGGUCUGGCAUCAGUAAUCUUCUCCACCAUCCAAGGAAGAACAUGUUAUCUUACUGGUUGUUUUGGGAGGUGAAGUAAGAAGUUGGGAAAGUGUGAUUCUGAAUAUGAAGAAUCUGAGUACUUAGGAAGAAAUAUAUCUCAGCAACAUCCUCAACAUUCCAUAAUUAACCACUUUAAGGAGCCACAGCCAUUAAAGAAUCUGUGCUGACCCCAAAGAGACCAUUUCUCUAAUGGCAACAACUCCACAUCUCCCAAGUUGGGCCCCACUCAUUGUCUCCUAUCAUUUGUCUCAUACAGAUGAAACUCUACCAUCUAUGUUCACUUAACUCAUAAGACCCAAGUUGCUAGAGAUGAAUAAUAUUAGUCAUGAUGUCCACAAUGGAGAGUCGCUGUUAUGCAUUGCUGGAUUAUUCAUAGACACUUCUGGUAAACAUGGCACUACUGCAGUUUGGACUCUGUACCAAAACUAGAAAAACUAGUAAACAGCUUUCCAAAAUCUUGUGGUGAGAUUUUUCUGGCUGUGAAACAUUUGUUGCAUUUGGCCAUGAAAUAGUUUACAGUACUGAUCAUGAAAUGCAUCAGUAGCCUUUCACCUGGUAAUGUGAAAUUCUCUUUCCAUAGUCCUGAAGCUUAGAAAAUGCCCUAUUACCACCACCACCACCACCCCCAACUGAGCAGUGCAAUACUCUCAUUUCUAAAUUAGGGAUCAGCAAACUAUGUCUUGUGGGCCAAAUCUGGCCAACUGCUUAUUUUUGUAAAUAAAGUUUUAUUGGAACACAGCCAUGCCCAUUCCUGUACAUAUCCUCUACAGCUGUUUUCAUGCUUCACCCAGAGCUGAGUAGUUGUGACAGAUGUUUGCCUUACAAAGCCUUAAAUAUUUACUAUCUGGUGUGUUACAGGAGAAAUUUGCUGAUCCCCAUUAUAAAUGAUAAGGCAAAAAAAUUUCUUAUUCAGAAUAACCUCCUCUCCAACCCAACAAAAGAAAACAAAACCAGAAAACAACCAUGACCCCAGCGAGUAGUGUUCGCAUACUUAAAAGCCAGCCUAACUCUCUUACAAAGUAUACUCUGAAAUAAGAUGCAUACAAAACAUAAAAUACUAUUUGAUGGCACAGUAGGGUGACUGUAGUCAGUGGUAGCUUAACUGAAUAUUUUAAAAUAAUGUAAAGAGUGUAAUCAGAUUGUUCAUAACUCAAGGGAUAAAUGCUUAAGGGGCCGGAUACCCCAUUCUUUAUGAGUGCUUAUGUUCACAUUGCAUGCCUGUAUCGAAACAUCUCAUGUACCCCAUAAAUAUCUAC
rnacentral:lncRNA from 10 species